UCGCCCUUGUGCCAGCCGCCGCGGUAACACGUAGGAGGCAAACGUUAUCCGGAUUUACUGGGCGUAAAGCGCGUGUAGGUGGUUUGGUAAGUAGGGCGUGAAAGCUCCUGGCUCAACUGGGAGAGGACGUUCUAAACUGCCAAGCUUGAGGAUGGUAGAGGGAGGUGGAAUUCCGGGUGUAGCGGUGGAAUGCGCAGAUAUCCGGAGGAACACCAGUGGCGAAGGCGGCCUCCUGGACCACUCCUGACACUCAGACGCGAAAGCUAGGGUAGCAAACGGGAUUAGAGACCCCGGUAGUCCUAGCCCUAAACGAUGUAGACUUGGCGUCGGUGGUUUAAUCGCCAUCGGUGUCGUAGCUAACGCGAUAAGUCUACCGCCUGGGGACUACGGCCGCAAGGUUAAAACUCAAAGGAAUUGACGGGUCCCCGCACAAGCAGCGGAGCGUGUGGUUUAAUUCGAUGCUACACGAAGAACCUUACCUGGGUUUGACAUAGAGGUAGUAGGGAAGCGAAAGCGGACCGACCCUUCGGGGAGCCUCUACAGGUGUUGCAUGGCUGUCGUCAGCUCGUGUCGUGAGAUGUUCGGUUAAGUCCGCUAACGAGCGCAACCCUCGCUGUGUGUUACAAGUGUCACACGGUACUGCCGAUAUUAAGUCGGAGGAAGGUGGGGGAUGACGUCAGGUCAGCAUGACCUUUAUAUCCGGGGCUACACACACGCUACAAUGGCCAGUACAAUGGGUUGCCAAGCCGCGAGGCGGAGCCAAUCCUAAAAAACUGGCCUCAGUUCAGAUUGCAGUCUGCAACUCGACUGCAUGAAGUUGGAGUUGCUAGUAACCGCAGGUCAGCAAUACUGCGGUGAAUACGUUCCCCGGGG
rnacentral:rRNA from 1 species